GUAUUAUGUAGCUUAAUAACAAAGCAUAGUGCUGAAGCCACGAUGCAUUGUAUAUAUAUAUACAAAACAU
rnacentral:tRNA from 1 species